rnacentral:rRNA from 1 species
AGAGUUUGAUCCUGGCUCAGGAUGAACGCUGGCGGCGUGCUUAACACAUGCAAGUCGAACGAAGCAUUUAGAACAGAUUAUUUCGGUAUGAAGUUCUUUAUGACUGAGUGGCGGACGGGUGAGUAACGCGUGGGUAACCUGCCUUGUACUGGGGGAUAGCAGCUGGAAACGGCUGGUAAUACCGCAUAAGCGCACAAUGUUGCAUGACAUGGUGUGAAAAACUCCGGUGGUAUAAGAUGGACCCGCGUCUGAUUAGCUAGUUGGUGAGAUAACAGCCCACCAAGGCGACGAUCAGUAGCCGACCUGAGAGGGUGACCGGCCACAUUGGGACUGAGACACGGCCCAGACUCCUACGGGAGGCAGCAGUGGGGAAUAUUGCACAAUGGAGGAAACUCUGAUGCAGCGACGCCGCGUGAGUGAAGAAGUAAUUCGUUAUGUAAAGCUCUAUCAGCAGGGAAGAUAGUGACGGUACCUGACUAAGAAGCUCCGGCUAAAUACGUGCCAGCAGCCGCGGUAAUACGUAUGGAGCAAGCGUUAUCCGGAUUUACUGGGUGUAAAGGGAGUGUAGGUGGCCAUGCAAGUCAGAAGUGAAAAUCCGGGGCUCAACCCCGGAACUGCUUUUGAAACUGUAAGGCUAGAGUGCAGGAGGGGUGAGUGGAAUUCCUAGUGUAGCGGUGAAAUGCGUAGAUAUUAGGAGGAACACCAGUGGCGAAGGCGGCUCACUGGACUGUAACUGACACUGAGGCUCGAAAGCGUGGGGAGCAAACAGGAUUAGAUACCCUGGUAGUCCACGCCGUAAACG